rnacentral:rRNA from 1 species
AUACGUAGGUGGCAAGCGUUAUCCGGAUUCAUUGGGCGUAAAGCGCGCGUAGGUGGUCCUUCAAGUCAGAUGUGAAAUCUCCCGGCUUAACUGGGAGCGGUCAUCUGAUACUGCUGGACUUGAGGAUGGUAGAGGGAGGUGGAAUUCCCGGUGUAGUGGUGAAAUGCGUAGAUAUCGGGAGGAACACCAGUGGCGAAAGCGGCCUCCUAGGCCAUACCUGACACUGAGGCGCGAAAGCGUGGGGAGCGAACAGGAUCAGAUACCCUGGUAGUCCACGCCAUAAACUGUGGAAACUAGGUACAGGGAGUAUCGACCCUUCCUGCGCCGUAGCUAACGCGUUAAGUUUCCCGCCUGGGGACUACGGUCGCAAGACUAAA